rnacentral:rRNA from 1 species
UACAGAGGUCUCAAGCGUUGUUCGGAAUCACUGGACGUAAAGGGUGCGUAGGCCGCACGGUAAGUCAGAGGUGAAAUCCCGGAGCUCAACUCCGGAAAUGCCUCCGAUACUGCCGUGCUUGAGGACUGGAGAGGAGUCUGGAAUUCACAGUGGAGCAGUGAAAUGCGUAGAUAUUGUGAGGAACACUAGUGGCGAAGGCGAGACUCUGGACAGUUCCUGACGCUGAGGCACGAAGGCCAGGGGAGCAAACGGG